CCUACGGGGUGCAGCAGUGAGGAAUAUUGGUCAAUGGGCGAGAGCCUGAACCAGCCAAGUCGCGUGAAGGAUGACGGCCCUACGGGUUGUAAACUUCUUUUGUCAGGGAGCAAUUGGGUCCACGCGUGGGCUUAGCGAGAGUACCUGAAGAAAAAGCAUCGGCUAAGCCCGUGCCAGCAGCCGCGGUAAUACGGAGGAUGCGAGGGGUAUCCGGGUUUUUUGGGUUUAAAGGGUGCUUAGGCGGAAUAUGAAGUCAGCGGUAAAAAUUCGGGGCCCAACCGCGUCGUGCCGUUGAAACUGAUGUUCUUGAGUGGGCGAGAGGUAUGCGGAAUGCGUGGUGUAGCGGUGAAAUGCAUAGAUAGCACGCAGAACUCCGAUUGCGAAGGCAGCAUACCGGCGCCCAACUGACGCUGAAGCACGAAAGCGUGGGUAUCGAACAGGAUUAGAUACCCCAGUAGUC
rnacentral:rRNA from 1 species